rnacentral:tRNA from 1 species
GGAUUGUGGCUCAGUGGUAGAGCGCUUGCCUCGCAUGUGUGAGGCACUGAGUUCAAUCCUCAACACCA